AACAGCAGUAAGAUAAAUUAAAGUAAAUCUGUACUGUUAGAUUCUAUUUCACUUAAAUUAUUAGAAUUUUUUUGAACGAGAAAAUCCCUUCUCUAUUCCAUUAUUUUCCAAUUUUACCAUUUGAUCAAAACAAAAACCCUAAUCCCCUUCUGUCUCCCCACUCCCGUAACUCUCUCUCCCGAUCCCGCCGUCUGUUUUUCCUAGCCCUUCUCUCCCGCCGUAUGUUCGGUUCUUCCGGUAGCCUCUCUCAGUCUCUCUUUUCUCCUCCCUCAUGCAGUGGACGGAAUCAUCCUUGUCAUCUCUGGUCGUCUCUACAUCUCUUCAUCUCUGCAUCUCUACAUCUCUGCAUUCUCCAGAUUCCACUCCAGGUUCGAUUUUGUCUCUACAUCUCUGCAUCUCCUUUCUCCGUAAUUGCUCCAUAUUCGUUCUUGAUUAGAUUGUUCAAGCCGAUUAGAGAUUGGCAUCUCAAAAUGGGGGUGCCUAGGGGUUGGAAACGUGAGCCUGCUUGCGAUAUUCCCAUUCCCUUGAACCAGAUGCUGAGCUUCCAACCGCUGAUCAUGAAGCUGCUGCAAGUACACAUAUCGCUGCUGCAUCCUCUUCCAAGUUCCUCCAACUAAUUUGAUUCUGGUUUAGCUGUUGAGAAUGUAGGUAAGGAAUAUGAGAUUGUGCAUCAAGAAAGAAUUGCCGCUGAUGAUCAUAUCCCACUUAUAAUACAGACAGCCCAAAAACUCGAUUUCCUGAAACCCGACGUCGCCUCCCAAAUUCAUUGGAUCGUUUUCACAUCGCCGCCGACCGCCCGCUACAAGCUUCUUUGAAAGAGAGUGGUUUCGAUAUGGAAUUUGGCGUCGGUGAGAGAAUCAAUCAAUUCAUGGCUACUUUGCAACCGACGAGGGCUCGGGCGGAUUACGAUUAUCUCAUCAAGCUUCUCCUCAUUGGCGACAGUGGUUAGUCGUGGUUUAUCCUUCUCUGUUUGGUUCCUGAGAAAAUUUUGGAAUUGCGAAUCGGAAGUUGGACAUUCUGAGAUCUUAGGUGUUUUUCCUUUACGUUGGUAUUUCUGGUGGCCAAUGUGCUUUGCCUUUCAUCCGAGUGAACAAUUUUUUUUCAAUAAAAAAAGAUAAAAUCGUUAUUUCUGAACCCAUUUUUUUUUUUUUUUUUUGGGUUACAAAAUAGUGGACAAAUAGGGUAAUAUUUAGUUCUGUCAAGUUUGAAAGUUUGAAUGCGUGCAGUUUUUGGUAAAUUUAGUGUUUAGGGACCUGUAUGUGAGUGUAAUUAGAUGGGUUUGUUUGAAAGAUGCAGUUUUGGGUUUGACAUCAGAUUUUACAAAGAGCAUUCAACCUCUGGUGGGGUCGGUGUUUUGGCGUCGGUUGAGAUUAUUGCUUUGGAGGAUACGUUUUGAAAUUGCUUUGAGAUGGAUAAGAAGUUUUAGGAUUUUUUUUUGUUUGGAUGGGGUAUCCUGGAUCUUGUGCGUUAAAAAUGGUCUAAUUGUGAGGAUUGCUUUGAAGACAAUAAAUCAAGCUAAGAUUCCAAUACUGUUUUCCAUGAUGAUUGAGGAAAAUUGAAGGGUUUGAUUGAAAGAAAAUGGGCAAGGUUCCAAUGUCCUUAAUUUUGCAAAUCUUUUGAACAUUUGAUAUUUUGUAAUGUUCUAAUGUUUUAUUUUUUAUUUUUUUCUGCUCUUAUUUUGGAUAUGUAAAUAUAUACCUAAAAGAAAAUUGCGUUUUUAUGUUUUGAAUGUGACAAUAUGGUAUAUAUAUAUACUUAUUUAGUAUUAUAUUUUUCAUUUGAUUA